CCUACGGGUGGCAGCAGUGGGGAAUAUUGGGCAAUGGAGGAAACUCUGACCCAGCAACGCCGCGUGAAGGAUGAAGGUCUUCGGAUUGUAAAGUUCUUUUCUAAGGGAAGAAGAAAGUGACGGUACCUUAGGAAUAAGCCUCGGCUAACUACGUGCCAGCAGCCGCGGUAAUACGUAGGUGGCAAGCGUUGUCCGGAUUUACUGGGUGUAAAGGGCGUGUAGCCGGGAAGGCAAGUCAGAUGUGAAAUCCGGAGGCUCAACCUCCGAAUUGCAUUUGAAACUGUUUUUCUUGAGUACUGGAGAGGCAGACGGAAUUCCUUGUGUAGCGGUGAAAUGCGUAGAUAUAAGGAGGAACACCAGUGGCGAAGGCGGUCUGCUGGACAGCAACUGACGGUGAGGCGCGAAAGCGUGGGGAGCAAACAGGAUUAGAUACCCGGGUAGUC
rnacentral:rRNA from 1 species